rnacentral:rRNA from 1 species
GCGUAACGAGGCGAACUCGGGGAACUGAAACAUCUAAGUACCCGAAGGAAGAGAAAUCAACCGAGAUUCCGAAAGUAGCGGCGAGCGAAAUUGGAUUAGCCCUUAAGCUUUUAAUGAUGCAGGUGAAGACUCUGGAAAGUGUCGCAGCAAAGGGUGAUAGCCCCGUAACCGACGCAUCAUAAUCAGUGAAAUCGAGUAGGGCGGGACACGUGAUAUCCUGUCUGAAUAUGGGGGGACCAUCCUCCAAGGCUAAAUACUACUGACUGACCGAUAGUGAACCAGUACCGUGAGGGAAAGGCGAAAAGAACCCCUGUGAGGGGAGUGAAAUAGAACCUGAAACCGUGUACGUACAAGCAGUAGGAGCACCUUCGUGGUGUGACUGCGUACCUUUUGUAUAAUGGGUCAGCGACUUAUAUUCAGUGGCAAGGUUAACCGUUUAGGGGAGCCGUAGGGAAACCGAGUCUUAACUGGGCGACACAGUCUCUGGAUAUAGACCCGAAACCGAGUGAUCUAGCCAUGGGCAGGUUGAAGGUUGAGUAACAUCAACUGGAGGACCGAACCGACUAAUGUUGAAAAAUUAGCGGAUGACUUGUGGCUAGGGGUGAAAGGCCAAUCAAACUCGGAGAUAGCUGGUUCUCCCCGAAAUCUAUUUAGGUAGAGCCUCGGACGAAUACUACUGGGGGUAGAGCACUGUUAAGGCUAGGGGGUCAUCCCGACUUACCAACCCUUUGCAAACUCCGAAUACCAGUAAGUACUAUCCGGGAGACACACGGCGGGUGCUAACGUCCGUCGUGAAGAGGGAAACAACCCAGACCGCCAGCUA